GGAUGAAAUAUAUAAUUGUAAAUCUAAUAGCCGAUGAAAUAUAUUUAUAAACUAACCAUCUUUAGUAUAUUAAUUAAAUCUUAUUUAACGGUUGGACGAGACUAAUCUCUUUCAAGUGAAAUUAGUUCUUUUUAAAAUACCGACUCUACAAUUUAAUCUUUCAAUCAGCGAAGUAGAAUCUUGUGUGAUUUAACUAUUAUAACCAUCUUGAUUUAAUAACUCCGAUUAAUUGCACAAAUUCUGUAAUUUAAUACGACAUCAAGAAAGCAAACGUAAUAGAUUAAUAAAAACAAAAAUAGAUACAAGAAAACAUGGAAUUAGAUAGUUUUCGUUUUAGCCUUAAGUGGAUACAUUUCGGAUGGAAUAACAUAAACCGGAUCGAUGCCAUCAAUCUCUGAUAGCAUAAGCUUGAGCUCAAAACGCCUUUUACACUUCUUGAUAAAACUGAGAAGCCAUGAAAUGAAGAUUUCAAGCUUCGUUUUAAUUUGAACUUGCAAAUCCCAUGCCAUGAAGAGAUGCCCUUAAUUUGUACCCAUUUAAGGU
rnacentral:lncRNA from 1 species